AAAUGCGAUAAUUAAUGUGAAUUGCAGAAUUCAGUGAAUCAUCGAGUCUUUGAACGCACAUUGCGCCCCCUGGUAUUCCGGGGGGCAUGCCUGUCCGAGCGUCAUUGCUGCCCUCAAGCACGGCUUGUGUGUUGGGCUUCCGUCCCUGGCAACGGGGACGGGCCCAAAAGGCAGUGGCGGCACCAUGUCUGGUCCUCGAGCGUAUGGGGCUUUGUCACCCUCUCCCGUAGGUCCAGCUGGCAGCUAGCCUCGCAACCAAUCUUUUUAACCAGGUUGACCUCGGAUCAGGUAGGGAUACCCGCUGAACUUAAGC
rnacentral:misc_RNA from 1 species